rnacentral:rRNA from 1 species
CCAAUAGCGUAUAUUAAAGUUGUUGCAGUUAAAAAGCUCGUAGUUGAAUUUCGAAAUUUUUUUAUCGGUUGAAUCAACAGGUUCAUACUGAUUUUAAGAAUUUCUACCUUCUGGAGAACCUUAAUGUCAUUUAUUUGAUGUUUUGGGAAACCAGGACUGUUACCUUGAAAAAAUUAGAGUGUUUAAAGCAGGCUUAUGUCUGAAUAUAUUAGCAUGGAAUAAUGAAAUAGGACGGCAUGGUUCUAUUUUGUUGGUUUCUAGGAUCACCGUAAUGAUUAAUAGGGAUAGUUGGGGGCAUUAGUAUUCAAUUGUCAGAGGUGAAAUUCUUGGAUUUAUUGAAGACUAACUUCUGCGAAAGCAUUUGCCAAGGAUGUUUUCAUUAAUCAAGAACGAAAGUUAGGGGAUCGAAGACGAUCAGAUACCGUCGUAGUCUUAACCAUAAACUAUGCCGACUAGGAAUCGGACGAAGUUAAUUUUUUAAUGACUCGUUCGGCGCCUUACG